GACGAACGCUGGCGGCGUGCUUAACACAUACAAGUCGAACGGAAAGGCCCUGCUUUUGUGGGGUGCUCGAGUGGCGAACGGGUGAGUAACACGUGAGUAACCUGCCCUUGACUUUGGGAUAACUUCAGGAAACUGGGGCUAAUACCGGAUAGGAGCUCCUGCUGCAUGGUGGGGGUUGGAAAGUUUCGGCGGUUGGGGAUGGACUCGCGGCUUAUCAGCUUGUUGGUGGGGUAGUGGCUUACCAAGGCUUUGACGGGUAGCCGGCCUGAGAGGGUGACCGGCCACAUUGGGACUGAGAUACGGCCCAGACUCCUACGGGAGGCAGCAGUGGGGAAUAUUGCACAAUGGGCGGAAGCCUGAUGCGGCAACGCCGCGUGCGGGAUGACGGCCUUCGGGUUGUAAACCGCUUUCGCCUGUGACGAAGCGUGAGUGACGGUAAUGGGUAAAGAAGCACCGGCUAACUACGUG
rnacentral:rRNA from 1 species